AAAAAUUUUGGCAGUGUCUACUGCUGGGAAGAAGAAAGAGAAAGAUGGUGAUUAUGAUCCAAGAUGUGAUAAAUCCUUGUCUAAGAAGAAAGGCAAAUCUGAUUUAUCACCAAUCAAGUUUUCAUUUUCAAGAUCUAAUCCCGAUCAACAGAAAGACACAUUUGAUAGAUCGAAUUUCACUGAGCAAGAAAUAAAGUCAAUUAAUCUACAAGUAUUGUCAGACUAUUCCCAUUUAAAUGAAGUGGUUAGUAAUUUGAGUGAUGAGCAAAAAAGAGACAUUAGGGAUAUUGGGUUUGGGAGUCUGUUAGAUAUUAGGAUAAAGAGUUUUGUCCUAAUCUGAAUUUGGAGGUGUUGUUAAAUUACAAUGCAUCUGGAAUGAUGUUUUCAACAAAGAAUGGUAAACUGAUUUUUAAUAAGUUUACCAUUAGUGAUGUUUUGGGGUUACCUGUGUCAGAUAGAGCAGUAGAGGUUAUAGAUGAUGACGCCUUUAGGAGGAAAGGUAGUCAGAUAGAGGCUGGAAGUGCCAGGAAGGAUUGGCAUAGGUUUCUUGGUAUUUCUGAUCCCAAGAAGGUAUAUAUUGGUAGAAAAAAUUGGGAUGAUUUGUUUAAGAAAUAUGAAUCCGGGGAUGAUUUCAAGAAGUUAUUUGUUAUCUUUUCGUUGUCCAAGCUUCUA